GAAAUGCGAUAAGUAGUGUGAAUUGCAGAAUUCAGUGAAUCAUCGAAUCUUUGAACGCACAUUGCGCCCCUUGGUAUUCCAUGGGGCAUGCCUGUUCGAGCGUCAUUUGUACCCUCAAGCUCUGCUUGGGGUUGGGUGUUUGUCCCGUCUCCGCGCGUGGACUCGCCCCAAAGUGAUUGGCAGCCGGCGUACUGGUCCCGGAGCGCAGCACAUGUCGCGCAAACGAGUGCCUUGGUACGGCGGCGUCCAUAAGCCCCUCUCUCACGCUCUUGACCUCGGAUCAGGUGGGGAUACCCGCUGAACUUAAGC
rnacentral:misc_RNA from 1 species